GCCAGCAGUGAGGAAUCUUGCGCAAUGGGCGAAAGCCUGACGCAGCAACGCCGCGUGGGUGAUGAAGGCCUUCGGGUAGUAAAACCCUUUUCUGGGGGACGAGGAAGGACGGUACCUCAGGAAUAAGUCUCGGCUAACUACGUGCCAGCAGCCGCGGUAAAACGUAGGAGGCAAGCGUUAUCCGGAUUUACUGGGCGUAAAGCGCGCGCAGGCGGCUCUGUAAGUCGGGCGUGAAAGCCCCCGGCUCAACUGGGGGAGGCCGCUCGAAACUGCAGGGCUUGAGGUCGGGAGAGGGAAGUGGAAUUCCCGGUGUAGUGGUGAAAUGCGUAGAUAUCGGGAGGAACACCAGUGGCGAAGGCGGCUUCCUGGCCCGCACCUGACGCUAAGGCGCGAAAGCGUGGGUAGCGAACGGGAUUAGAUACCCCGGUAGUCCACGCCCUAAACGAUGGCAACUAGGUGUUGGGGGCUAUUGACCCCCUCAGUGCCGAAGCUAACGCGAUAAGUUGCCCGCCUGAGGACUACGAGCGCAAGAUUAAAACUCAAAGAAUGACGG
rnacentral:rRNA from 1 species